rnacentral:lncRNA from 1 species
UGUGUCUUUUUUCUUCCAUAUUUAAAGUUGCAUCAUUUGGAACUCUGGUGUUGAACUGUGCAGAAAAGCUCCAGCUGCCCUUAUUGCCUCAAGCUUACUAGCUAGCACCUGAAACCAGGGCAGUGUUGAUAUCGCUACAUCAUCAUGUUUUUUAGGCGUUACAACCCCUAGCUAGUGUAGUUCAGUGUUCUCAUUCUUUAUCUCUCUUGUAAUCUUAUCCCAGCUAGUGAUUUGUUAGUUUGUCUUGAUUUACUUUCUAGUCCUCUAAUUUUUCAUGAUUUCACCAGCUACUCCUUUUACUUCCAUUUACCUCACUUUGUCUUUUUACAAGUAUUUCCAUGUCUUUUUAAGUGUGGUUUAACAUUUAUUUCUCCUUGGAAGCAAAUUUAACUUGUUUUGUUUUAUACAGACACAUUUGAUGGUUGAAUAUAUCAAGAGUCUUCAAGAGAAGGUAAAUCUCGGCUGCUACUCUCACAAAUGUGUUUGGUAUAUGACGGAAAACAUUUCUUGGAAAAUGUCUGCGAAAAAUCACUUUUUUCUGAAAGAUAUUUUGUGGAAAACGAUUUCAGUGUUUGGUUGGAAAAUGGAAGAAUGGAAAUAUUUAUCUCCAAAAACAUUAACUAAAUCUUUAUAAUGACGUUAGCUAACAUGACAAUGUUUUGAUAAUCAAGAGUUGGAUAGUUGUGCAUGAAGUUAAAGAGUUGUGAUAGUUGUGAAGAAAAGGACUUUGGGCUGAAAGUCAGGAAAGUCAUUGUUCCGCGUUCGGUGAAAAAUAUUUUCCUUCAGAAAAAUAUUUUCUAAUAGAACACCAGAAAAUGACUUAUUCUCCGAAAAAAUCCUUCAGUUCGUCCACCGCACUUCAGCACUUCAUGUGAACUCAAGAGUUUGGUCUGUCAUUUGCACUUUCAUUUCCUGUGAAGUUACUCUAUCAUAGCCAUGUUAUCCCUUUGUCUUUGGCUCCCCGGAUAUCGACUCAUAGUAUGCUAUAUUUGCAUGGAUUAGUUUCGUGUGACCACCUAGAACUUGCAUGCCAUCUUAAUUCAAAUUCUUAAGCAUAGAUGAUUUCAACCAAUACUGAUCCAUGAUCAGCAGGACUAAAAUGUGCCAGGGUUUUUUACUACCAAACUCACAAUCUAGGCUUCUCAUCUUCCUGAAACAAGUGCCCCUUGGAACCACAGCAUUGUGACGGAGGAGAGAACAACUUGUGAUCUUGAAUACCUGAGCCUAAGAUCAUAUUUUAUCUACCACUGCAUAAGAUAAAGUGUAAAUUAUUUUUGAACGACUGAUAGAAUAGUUUUUGUUCCUUUAAGUCCUUCUUGUGAAGGGAAGCCUUGGCGUAACUGGUAAAGUUGCUGCCAUGUGACCAGGAAGUCACGGAUUCGAGCCGUUAAAACAGCACCGUGCAGAAACGCAGGGUAAGGCGGCGUACAAUAGACCCUUGUGGUCUGGCCCUUCCCCGGACCCCGCAGCGGGAGCUUAGUGCACCGAGCUGCCCUUUUUUUUAAGUCGUGUUACUUGUCCACAGCUCUACCUACUUCUGUUAAAAUUCUGGAGCUACUAUAUAAGUCAAAUGAGUUCUCCUGGAAUUUCUACUCUGUGACCAGAAUACAUUAUUAUUUGAGGGAGAAUUAAUAUGAUGUUAAGUUGCCAUUACACUACGCGUGACAGAAGAUAUGACCUUAGACUCUUCUCUGCAGGAAAAACUGCUGAGGGAAGAAAACAAACUUCUGGAAGACAGGGUAAAUCUUAAAUGAUAGAUCUUCUCUUUUGCUAGCACAAAUUAGGUGUUGGCUGUAUAGAUAUAUGUUCCAUGGUUUUCUAAAUGACGAAAUAAAUGUGCAUAUGCACCUACAGAUAGCUAUGAUCAAGAAAAACAGAGAAGUGAAUGGGAUGGCUUCGGAUUUCACUAACCGAGCACCAGUCCGCAUGAUUUGUGGACAGCAGAGAGCGACGCUGAAUUUCCUCUAGUUAUCAUUGUAUAUGUCAAGUAUUCUUGUAGUCUCUACUGGAACAAUUUGCCAAAUCUAUCUGCUGCUUCUAACUUGGCACCUCUACUUUGUAAUUCCCAUUUGUAUGAAGGAUCAUGCUGUACCUGAAACGCUGCAUAUUAGGAAUGUCCAAAAUUAAUAUUAGUAAAAGAUAUUGGUGUAAUAAUUAUAAAGAAAUAUUUAAUUGUUCAUCUGUAAGACCAACUAUAAUGAGCUCUUUUUUCCAUUUCAAAUGUGUAGGGAUUCAGUAAUGUCUUACUCAUGUCUUUUAAUUUCAUUUGUUGGUGAUUUUUGUUUAUUUAUGUACCUAUGUAUCCUCUCCUAAACAUUUUUAUUCUGAAUGCUACAGUCCAUUCUGGGGAAAAUAGGAAAAGCUUAUGUCUUUGAUAUUUCAUUCUAAGAAAUACGUACUGUUUAUUCUUUGGGAAAGUUGCUCAAUCAUUCCUGCCGUUGCAGUAUUCAUUCUCAGUGUAGAAGCUAAGGAAUGAGGAUCUUGUUAUUGGAGCAGUAGCACAUUUAAAAGGUUAGGCUAAAGGAACGAUUUUUUGACUAAAUCUAUGGGAGUAGGUCUAUUUUUAUCCUUUAAAUAUAACUCUGAGCAUUUUUAGUCCCUUAACUUUCUUAAAGUGGUUCUUUAUUUUGGUUUUGCUUUUGCCUUUGCUAUAUUAAGUAAGUGGAGAUGACAGAACCUAUGAAGUUUUUCUCUUUAAGUUAGUAGGGGUCGACUUAAUUAAUCCCCUCAUAUGUAAUUCUUAAUUUCUUUUUUCAAUUUAUCUUCUUUGAAAUUAAUUUUCUCUUUUGUAUGUUUGUCUUCUCUGGUAAUAGUUAUUCUCGAACUACUUGGCUUUGUUGUGGAACUGUCGAAGUUAGGUUACGUGAAUGCACUGAAAUUAAAGGAAUAACAGUACAACUCUUGGAAUCAGUUUUUUUAUAAAACUGAAAACCGGCAUAAUGUAAUGUAAAGUUUGUACAUAAUGUAGCAACUUAAUAAUUUUAGAUUAUGUUUAUUUUUUAUUAUGCCUUAUUAAUAAUAUUUAUUUUAUGCGAUUUUAUUAUCUUUAUUGUUGAAUAUUUUAGUACAAUGCCAUGGCUCAUGUUAUAUUUUAUGUUAUUUUCUUGAAAAAUAUCUUAUAUAGUUAUGUUUUACUAGGAUUAAGAAAAUAUUUGGAGCACAAAUUCUAUGAUUUGUGCUAUGAAAACUUUAUGAAAAAAAUUCGAAAAUACCCUAAAACCCAAAAUCCGACUUUAUUGGUUUGAUUUGGUUUUUAGAUUUAAUAACCCGACACAAUUGAUUUGGUUUGGUAAUUAAAAAAUCCGAACCAACCCGACCUAUGUACACACCUAACACAAACUAAGAAGGACCACAUGGCGGGCGUAUUUUCUUAGGUUUCUUCCUAUAUGCUUUAUUUUUGUUAUCCUGGUUUAUAUGCUCCGGAAAUUUUUAUGUCUGAUCCGUCAUCUAACCUACUUAAAUAAUCUAAAAGCUUGGCCCUGUGGCCCCAGCUGCAUGCUCAAACACCGUUACUUGUAUAAAAUAAAAAAACUAGUAGGUCAUAAAAAUAGUUAACCCGUGACUUUAAAAUCUUGGAUUCGGCGUUGGAUUAAAGAAUAGUACUCCUACUAUACUAUGGUUUAACAAGAUUUAUAGAGAUCCUUGGCAAAUACCCGGGCAGGGAAACUAUUUACCCGCCCCUACCCAUGUGGUUUGACCCCUACCCAUUUUUUUUUAAUACCGGUCAAAGCCAAUCAAAUGAAGUCAAACUAAGCUACUAAAUCAAGCCAAGCAUAGCCAAUUCAUGCCAAGCCGAGCAAAUCAAGUCAAGUCAAUUCAAACCAAGUCAAGUCAAAUCAAGCUAAGCCAAGCCAAAUGGUUAAUGGGUAUAGGGGGUAAUAAGUUUAAAUUGGAUAGGUAUAUAUUGUAAAUAGUUUUCAAAUGGGUAGGGUAAUUAUUUUAAGCUCAAUGGAUAUUUUGCAUAAAUUGCUCAAGAUUUAUAGCCUGUUUGACCGACCAUUUUUGUGCCAAUGGUUUUUUUUUUUUUUGGCCAAAAGAGCUUUUAUCCAAAUUAAGGUAUUUGGCUAAGCUAAUUUUAAAAGGACGAAAACGCAUUUGAGUAGAAACAAAAGUAGUUUAUGAGAAAUUGAAAAAAAAAAUUCUUCAUAAUUUAAAAAAAAAGUAUUUUUGAGAAAAAUAUACUUAGAAACACUUUUUAAAGUUUGGUCAAAUAUUAAUUACUGUUCAAAAGUGAUUUUUAAAUUAAUUAAUCAAAAAUAAACUACUUAUCAAAAGUACUUUCUUAAAAAUAAUUUUUUUUUUAAAAAAUAAACUGAAUUUAAAAACUUGACCAAUCAAGCAAUUAGUGCGGUUAAACAAGCAACAAACAUCAUUGAUGUUAAGACCGACUUGGAGGCCCUAGAAAAGACAAGAUUCAAGAUUAUUCACGCCUCCUGUUUGAUAAUGACAAAACAUUUUCUGAAAUUUAUUUGUAAAAAAUGAAUUAUAAUUUUAAAAGAAAAAGGAUUUCUGAUUUUUGUUGAAGAAUGGAAAUAUCUUUCGGGAAAACAUUUUUUGAUAACUGCUAAUAAAAAUAACAAAAAGAAGUAUUAAAUUGGUAUUCCUUAACAGUUAACACUAUAUUCUUUAUAAUUUGUUUCAGAAAAAAAAAACAUAUUUUUAUAUUAGAAAGUAGUUUAACUUUAAAAAAAAAAUUAUUUUACCGUUACUGACAUUAUUUUAUCGUUAUAAAUAAUAUAUUUAAUAUCAUAAAUUUUACAAAUAUUUCUUUCUUUAUUAAACUCAGUGCCUAAUAAAGUAUUAAUGCCUAAAGUAAAGUUAAAAAUUGUUGCGAAGGCAAAUGAAUUAUAUUCAAAAGUGAAAAGAAGUCAUUAUUUGCAUUUUAAUUUGGUGAACUUUCUAUCUAAGUUUUUUCUUUUCUUUUUGGUGUGUGUGGACGGUAGAAUGUAGGAAUAUAUUUACACCGAAAAAUGACAAAAUAUCCAAGAAAUAUUUUCAGGAAAUAUGAAGUAACAAUAUGAAAUAAACGAGAGGCUUCACAGUUUGCAUGAGCAGGGGCGGCCGGGGCCAUGCCCUUGCUUUAGCUUAAGGAAGAAAUCCAGGCUUUAGAGCUCAACUUAGGGAUCGGGCCUAUCAUUAUUGAUGAUUUGCAUGCGGGAGGAUCAUCGAAGGUUGGAGAAAGAGAUAGAAAGCUGACUAGAGUAGGGGUAGAGGUCAGGGGCUGUGUAUAUUAAGCAGUGACCUUAAUAACCGAGAGUCUUCUAAAACUCUCUGCCACAAACUAAAGAAUUGAAUUACCUUGCGCCGGUAUCAUUUCGCUUGAGCCGGGAACUUCUGUUUGCCUUGAGAUAGGUAUUCCUUCUUAUAGAUAUCACCGAAAAAGCGGAAGACUAAGAAGACUUUGUCUCGCCCACGCCUAGGAAAAGAAAAGAUCAGAUUAGCAACGACUUUCGAAUAAAGGAUUUUCUUGCUUUUCAUUAUUCUCUCGGAGUUGAGUUAUAGUUAGCAGAUGGGAUCUAAUUCAUUAGAGGAAGGGACGGUAAUUAACUGAUAGAACCUCUUCUCUUCUUUCAAAUCGCAGCUCUCAAGUGAGAAGAAAAGGCACCCCACGGAGCGGUGGGAAAGCAAGAGCGUAGCAGGAAGAAGAAGUAUGAAAGCAGCAAAUCUUUCCUCCUCACCGAACUCAGUAGUUUUGAUCCAAAUCACAUAUUUAUCUUUAAAAAAUUAUUGAAUAUGUAUAAAUUAUUAAUUUAGAAUCUAGUAACUUAAAAGAUCUCGAACCCACAAAAUUCAAAUCCUCUCUCCGCCUCUGUGCAUGAGGUGGAGGGGAAAUGCCAAGCUAAAGCGUUUUGAGUUUGAAACAACAGAAAACGAUUCUCAGAAAGGAAAUGCCAUUACUAUCGACUAAUCCAACUUACAAAUUCUGGGAAGGAAUGCAGGUGCUCCGUUGAGAUUGUGGAUAUCCUCUUGAGGAGAUAAUCUGAAGUAUAUACUCUCUCUCUCUUCAGUGGGUUUUCUUUUGGUACUGCUUUAGGGUAAACAUGAUAAAUUCCAUGCAAGUCGGUCGAGAUAUAUACUAUAUAUGUAGAGUAUCACAUACUGCUAGUAAGUAGAAGUAAGAAUAUAUAAUUGGCUAAUACGUACAAUUUGUUUCUAAUUUCAGUCACACAGGUAAACUUUACCAGCAAUUAAUACAAAGUAGAGUAAAUUAUUGCCACAUUAAGAAAUAUAACCAGAUGAUUAUAAGAGUUUAUAUACACGGUGUGCGCUACUAGUCACUUACGUAGUAUAA